GUGUGCUCUAGCCAACAGAUAGCGCUAGUAGCUUGGCUAUAUCAAAUCAAAUGUAUUUAUAUAGCCCUUCUUACAUCAGCUGAUAUCUCAAAGUGCUGUACAGAAACCCAGCCUAAAACCCCAAACAGCAAGCAUGCUAAUACCAAAAUUGUGACAAAACCAUCAGUAGAGCUGAAAAUGCAAUGCAAACCCAUUUAACUUGUAUUUUGUAUUCGGUACCUGGGAAUUUAACCGCAAAAAUGUAUUUAUUAUGUUCACUAUGUCAGCACAGCUGUGUGUGAUGUCAAUUUGAUGGAAACACAUCUCUGGUGGGAAAAUGCGCAUAUUGUUUUUAUGCAGAUUUUUUUAAUAUUCGCAUGGAAAAUAUGUCGCCAAUUGGAUGGAAACCUAGCUACAGAUAACAAUGUUGCAGAUCGGGUGCACACACACACUCACACAAACUUAUGACUACUGUUUAGACAUGCACAGACAUGUACUGUACACAAAGGCAUAAACACACACACGCAUACACACACAUGCAAACGUAUACUGUAUAUUCACACGCACACUCACAUACACCCACACCACACACUACACCACCCACCACCCACCACCCACCACACACCACACCCACACCACACCACCUACCCACACCACACACCCACACCACACACACCACACCACCCACACCACACACACACACACACACCACACCACACACCACACCAGACCCACAUCACAUCCCACACACCACACACACCCCACAUCACACCACACACGCCAAAUCAUGCCACCCACACCACACACCACACCCACACCACACACACCACACAAACACCACACACCACACCCACACAACACCACCUACCCACACCACACACCACACACACCAUACCACACACACCACAUCACACCACACACCACACCACCCACACACCACACCACACACCCACACCACACCACACCACCCACACCACACCCACACCACACAUACACCACACCCACACCACACCAAACACCACACCCACACCACACACACCACAACACCCACACCACACACACCACACACCACACACCACACCACCUACCCACACCACACUCCCACACCACACACCACACCACCCACACCGCACACACCACACACCCACCACACCCACAACACAUCACACCACACACCACACCACCUACCCACACCACACACCCACACCACACGCCACACCACACACCACACCACAUCACGCCACACACCCCACAUCACGCCACACACACCACACCCACACCAAACACCACACCCACACCACACACCCACACCACACCACCUACCCACACCACACACACACACCAUACCACCCCACACCACACACACCACAUCACACCACACACCACACCACACGCCACACCACACACCACACCACACACCCCACAUCAAACACCACACACCACACCACACACACCACGCCCACACCACACCAAACACCACACCCACACCACACACACCACACCCACACCAAACACCACACCCACGCCACACACCCACACCACACCACCUACCCACACCACGCACCCACACCAUACCACCCACACCACCCACACCACAUCACACCACACCACCCACACCACACACCACACCACCUACCCACACCACACACCCACACCACACCACCCACACCACACACCCACACCACACCCACACCACACCACACACCCACACCACACCAAACACCACACCCACACCACACCACCCACACCACACACCCACACCACAUCACACCAUACUCCACACCACACCACACACCACACCACCUGCCCACACCACACACCCACACCACACACCACACCACCCACACCACACACCCACCACACCCACAAUACAUCACACCACAACACACCACCCACCACACCACCUACCCACACCACACACCCACACCACACGCCACACCACACACCACAUCACGCUACACACCCCACAUCACAUCACGCCACACACACCACACCACACACCACACCACACACAACAAACACAACACCACAAACCACACCCACACCACACCCACACCCCACCGCACCACACACCACAAACACCACACCAAACACACCACACCACACACCACACUACACCACACACCACAGCCACACCAUACACCACACCCACACCACACACCACACCACACCCAUACCACACACACACCACACACCACACACCACACCACACCACACCCACACCACACCCACACCACCCACACCACAUCACACCACACACCACCCACACCCCACAACCCACACCACACACCCACACCACACCCACACCACACCAAACACCACACCCACACCACACACCCACACCACACCACACACACCACACCACACAACCACACCACAUCACACCACACACCACACAACACACCACCUACCCACACCACACCACCCACACCACACACCCACCACACCACACACCACACCCACACCACACCCACACCACACCACACCACCUACCCACACCACACACCCACACCACAAACCACACACCACACCACACCACACCCACACCACACCACUCACCACACCCACACCACACCACCUACCCACACCACACACCCACACCAUACCACCCACACCACACACACCACAUCACACCACACCACCCACACCACACCACACACCACACCACCUACCCACACCACACACCCACACAACACCACCCACACCACACACCCAAACCACACCCACACCACACCACACACCCACACCACACCAAACACCACACCCACACCACACCACCCACAUCAAACACCCACACCACAUCACACCAUACACCACACCACACACCACACCACCUACCCACACCACACACCCACACCACACACCAAACCACACCCCCCACACCACACACACACCCACCACACCCACAACACAUCACACCACAACACACCACCCACCACACCACCUACCCACACCACACACCCACACCACACGCCACACCACACACCACAUCACGCCACACACCCCACAUCACGCCACACACACCACACCACACACCACACCACACACAACAAACACAACACCACACACCACACCCACACCACACCCACACCCCACCACACCACACACCACAAACACCACACCACACACACCACACCACACACCACAGCCACACCACACCACUCACCACACCACACCCACACCACACACCACACCACACCCAUACCACACACCACACCACACACCACACCACACCCACACCACACCACACACCACACCCACACCACACCACCCACACCACACACACACACCACAUCACACCACACACCACACACCACCCACACCACACAACCCACACCACACACCCACACCACACCCACACCACACACCACACCAAACACCACACCCACACCACACACCGCACCACCCACACCACACACACACACACCACAUCACACCACACACCACCGCACCACACACCACACCACAAACACCACACCACACCACACACACCACAUCACUCACCACACCACACCACACACCACACCCACACCACACACCACACCAUACCACACCCACACCACACACCACACCCACACCCCACACCACCCACACCCACACCACAUCACACCACACACCACACCACCUACCCACACCACACCACACCACCCACACCACACACCACAUACCACACACCCCACCCACACCACACACCACACACCACACCACACACCCACACCACACCCACACCACACCACACCACACAACAAACACACCACACACCACACCCACACCACACCACCCACACCACACACCACCACACCCACACCCACACCACACAUCACACCCACAUCACACCACACCCACACCACACCCACACCACACACCACACCACACCCACACCACACACGCCCACGCCCACACCCACACCCAUACCACACACCACACCCACAUCACGCCACACCCACACCACACACCACACACCACACCCACACCACACACCACACACCACAUCACGCCACACCUGUCAGGGUGGAGACAAGCACAAGGACAGGUGAAAGAUCAGGGCGUGUCAGUUAUGUUAGCUAGGUGGCUAUGACUUUCUAACACAACACUGGAACUCUUCCAAGUCAAGUUACGUUUUUGGUAUUACUAAUUUAUUGUAACUGCUUACUGACUGUACACUAAUGUUACUGCAUGAUUAUAGCGGGUUUACUAACGUGUAAGUUCUAUUAGCUAUGCUAUGACAUUACUUUAGCUAAUAUGGUGACAAUGAUGUGUAAAGUUUUUUUUGCCUGGUCACGUACAGCUGAUGUCCACAAGCGAAGGGAAGAGAAGGAAUACAACGUGGCUUUUAUGAGAGUGAACUCCGCUGAGUCUGGUGAUAAACGGAGGUAAACAGAACUAAAUGGGGAUGAACAUACCAGAAUUCGUCCAAUAGAAACUCUCAUUUGCAACUGUUGGACUAAUGAUUACACCCUAUACAGUACCUUGCAAAAGUAUUCACCCCUUUGGCGUUUUUCCUAUUUUG
ensembl:lncRNA